CCUACGGGUGGCAGCAGUGAGGAAUAUUGGUCAAUGGCCGGAAGUCUGAACCAGCCAAGCCGCGUGAGGGACGACGGCCCUAUGGGUUGUAAACCUCUUUUGUAAGAGAGUAAUCAUUGCUACGUGUAUCCUGCUGCCUGUACCUUACGAAUAAGCAUCGGCUAACUCCGUGCCAGCAGCCGCGGUAAUACGGAGGAUGCAAGCGUUAUCCGGAUUUAAUGUGUUUAAAGGGUGCGGAGGCGGGUUGAUAAGUUAGGGGUUAAAUGUCCGGGCUUAACUCCGGAACUGCCUCUAAUACUGUAAGUCUAGAGUGGAGAUGCGGUAGGCGGAAUGAAUGAUGUAGCGGUGAAAUGCUUAGAGAUCAUACAGAACACCGAUAGCGAAGGCAGCUUACCAGUCU
rnacentral:rRNA from 1 species